CCCUCUUGGUGAUCAUCUAAUCUUUUCUCAAGUUUUUGUAUUUGUAGAUUUUGUUCUACCCAAAAUCCUAUCUCCACUCGUCCUUGAUCCUCAAGCCCUUUUGUUCCCACUCUCUUCUAUCCUUCCAACACACGAGUAAGAGAGUCAGCCAUAGGAAGGUUGGCCCAAAGCUAAGAGAGAGAGAAGCCAAGUUCUAUGGGAU
rnacentral:lncRNA from 1 species